ACGGGCGGUGUGUGCAAGGAGCAGGGACGUAUUCACCGCGCGAUAAUGACACGCAGUUACUAGGGAUUCCAUAUUCGUGAGGGCGAGUUGCAGCCCUCAGUCAUAACUGUGGUAACGUUUGAGGAUUACCUCAUCCUUUCGGAUUCGAAACCCACUGUCGUUACCAUUGCAGCCCGCGUGUGGCCCCAGAGUUUCGGGGCAUACUGACCUGCCGUGGCCCCUUCCUUCCUCCGCAUUAACUGCGGCGGUCCCGCUAAUUCGCCCCACUACUCCUGAGAGUAAUGGUGGCAACUAGAGGCAGGGAUCUCGCUCGUUACCUGACUUAACAGGACAUCUCACGGCACGAGCUGGCGACGGCCAUGCACCACCUCUCAGCUUGUCUGGUAAAGUCUUCAGCUUGACCUUCAUUCUGCUGUCUCUCCGGGUAAGAUUUCUGGCGUUGACUCCAAUUGAACCGCAGGCUUCACCCCUUGUGGUGCUCCCCCGCCAAUUCCUUUAAGUUUCAUACUUGCGUACGUACUUCCCAGGCGGCAAACUUAACGGCUUCCCUGCAGCACUGCAUUGGCCACAAGCCAAUGCAUCACUGAGUUUGCAUAGUUUACAGCUGGGACUACCCGGGUAUCUAAUCCGGUUUGCUCCCCCAGCUUUCAUCCCUCACCGUCGGACGUGUUCUGGUAGACCGCCUUCGCCACAGGUGGUCAUCAAUAGAUCAAAGGAUUUUACCCCUUCCUACCGAGUACCGUCUACCUCUCCCACUCCCUAGCUCUGCAGUAUUCCCGGCAGCCUGUACGUUGAGCGUACAGAUUUAACCGAAA
rnacentral:rRNA from 1 species